rnacentral:tRNA from 1 species
ACUAUUUUAGUACAAACAGUAUAAUUGAUUUCCAAUCAAAAGGUUGAAAAAAUCAAAAUAGUA